rnacentral:lncRNA from 1 species
AUAUCAUUAUCUGUGCACAUUCCCCUGCCAUGGAAAGAAUAGAAGUUCCAAAGUCUAUAGAACUGCAAUUCAAAUGUAAUUCAAUUAACUUGGAAUUAUCACAUAUCAUUUAGUUAUCUGGGAAUUUAAGUACCAGGGAUAGGUACUUAAAUACAAAUCUGGGAAGCUCUGAAGGGGAUGGUUAGGCAAGUUAUUGGUCCAAGCUGAGGGUGAGGGGUCAGAAUCCUAUCUGAAGAUGAAGCUACUGUGUUGACGGAUCCUAGAAAAGGAGCACCACUCCCCUUCUUUGCUCUGCUGAAUCAGAAUCCUCUUAAGGAAAGAAAAAAAAGGUUGAAAAAUUAAAGAAUGUGGUGGAACUGUGAGAUAGUACAAAGAGGGGAUGCUAAGUCUGGAGAAGGAAGAAGAAUGCCAAUGAUGCCUUCUCCUCAUCCAGAGACUCCCUAACCCUGGCUGUUACUGCUAAUGGGUUGUCCUUUGUGACUCCAAAGGCAUAGAGUGCCAAGAUAUUCAACCCUGCAGCAGCCUCCUCUAUGGGACUACUGCUGAUCAUAAGCAUAACUCAGCAAAAUGUCCCAAUCAUAGGGGAUCCCUGGAUGAACUGCUCCUUAUGUUCAACAGAUAAAAUUCUACAUACAGUGGAAUGGGAGAAAGGGCCACUGCCCAUUAAAAAAGAAAGCACAGCCAUCAACAGAGGCAAGGAUGUGGUACUGGGAACUGAUGUCUAUUGGCAUCUCCUGCUUAUACCAUAGAAUGGUGAUAUAACAGAGCUUCUCAAGGGCCGGAACAGAGGAACACGUAAGGCAUGGGGAAGCAAGCUUAAGCACUGGGGCAAGUCAUCUUCAAGGAAGAUAUUGUUCUCAAAGAUAUCAUUCCUGUGGUACAGUUCUCAUUCAUUUCACAUCUCUAUUCCCAACACACUUCCAAAGACUGCCCCAGUGUAACAUAUGCAGUUACUUCUCUGCGUAAGUCCUGCUUUUCCCUAUCGAGUCUUACCACGUAAAGCUACAGUUCUAUUGCAAGAGAGGGAAGCACAUCUCUACAGAUUGUGUCUUUAAGAACUAACAUAAGUAUUUCACCCAUCUGACUAGGAAGGAGGAGGCUUAUCAAGUGAUAGUUUUAUAAAUCUAGAUAGAAUUUUUCUCUCAAACAUUCAGAGUCAAAGGCCAGAAGUUACUUACCUGAUGUAAAGUACUUUCAAUUAAACAUACUGGAGACAGACUUGUAUCAAUGACAUUAAGUUAUGAAUGAUAAAAGAGAAAUAAUUCAACAUCUUCUAAGGAACAUGUGUGAAAUACUCCCUUGGAGUGUCACCAAGCCAGGCUAGGACAGAGAGUUAGGCCUCCAAACCCCUGAGCAGCACUUGCUUUCUUGAGAUAGCAUUAUCUGGGGAUCAGUUUCAGGUGGGAGGCAAAAAGUUAAGGAAGAGUUUGCCACUAUGGCAGAAUUAGUUUAGCAGUGGGAAGGUCUACGUUUUGGUCUCAAGAGAGGAAAUUGUGAAUUUACCUAGAAAGGGUGAAGUUUUACCCAGCAGAUAACUCUGCCCUUUCCUGUAAAUUUACCUAGAUGGGGUGAAGUUUACCCAGCAGAUAACACUGCCCUUUCCACUAUGACCCAUGUAACCUGGACAGCCCUGUAUUGCCCAACACAAAGUUACUCUUAGAACAUAGAAGACCUAGGCAGGAAGACCUGGUGGUGUUUAUGAUGCCCACUGUGGCCUUGACACCAGCUAACCAGAAUAAGAGAAUUUUAG